AUCUUGAAAUUCCAAAUGCAGCAGUAAUGACUUUUGUGCUGUCUGACAUUUCUAUCGGGAACAUUUCCAGCAAUUUUGCUGUGUCGCCCAGUACGGUUCAGAGAAGAAUGGGGUGUUGAGUAUUAAGUUGCGACCACACUAACUAGCGAACAACUUGUGACGCAUCUGAAUCCAGUUUUAUGUUGCGCAAAUUUGAAAACCGCUGGGUUGCAAACACUGAUUGUAUUGUUUAUGCAUUAAAAACACAACAUUCUCAAUGUAUUUGUGUCUGUGCGCAGUGUUAAGUGGCCUCAUGACAUUCUCUCAAGCAGAGUGGUGUUAUUUCGGAGGGACCCUGAAAGCACCACUAAGGAAGAAGGUACGGAUGAAAGGGUAAGGUGUUUACAUCAGUAAAAGUAGUAUACAGGAAGAGAAAGUAAUAAAGAACCUAGUGAAGUUAUUUUGGUUAAAGCUACACUUGAAAGCUGUAACAAGGACAGUUAUUAUGUAGUUAUGGACAUCGUAGAGCUAGAGUAUUUUGUGCUUAAUUACGUAGAUAACUGUGUUAAUCAAAUAUGCUAACUACUUCAUAAAGCAUAUAUAUAUGGUCCAAUGUGUUUUUUUUUAUUUUGUUGUGCAAUGUAUGUUAGUAAAUUUAUCUAGCUCUAACGUUGGUUUCAGGAUACUGAAGAAAUAAAGAAACAUCAGACCAUCAGUAAAGCUGAUUUUCUUGACUGGACAAUAUACUGACUUACAUGGUUUAACUGGCCUAAUACAAACUAGAUAAAACAUUUCCAUAAGAAAAUGCACAGUGAAUGCUUCCAUGCUGAAUGUAGUCCUGAAGAAUUGCUGAAAGUAGCUGAAACAUUUAAAACAGGUGAAAAUAGCUCCACCAUGUAAAGCAUAGAUGAAUGUAUCUGAAGAGAAUUAGGAAGUGUUUUGUUAAACAGGGCUGAAUAUUUGCAGAAGAUGCUAAAAUAGUGUAAAGUGCAUUUCAAAUGGAGGAAACUUGAAAUAGAUUUUCUGAAAUUAAAGAGCUGCUGAAAAUCAAGGAAGUGUGUAAAGGUUUGUUGAAAUAUAGCCAAACAUAGCAAAAUGGCUAAAUAUUGUAAUUUAAAAGUUUUGAUUUCAAGAGCUGAAUGAGUAGCUCAACGUUUUGGAAAUAUUUAAUACAACUGAAAUUUGCUGCAGAACAAGUAGUUGAAUUUAAAAUUAAAAAAUCGUUGAAGCUUUGAAGAAAGUGUGUGCUGGUAUUUGCUGAACAGCAAAAUAGUUUCAUUAGUCAUAAUUAACUAGUCAAAUGCGGAAAAGUGAUAUUAUAAGAGUUAGAUUGGUGCUUUUAUUUUGAAAGGAAUUUGAGGAAGUGUGUGUCCUAAAUUGCUAAACUGGAAAAAGCACUCAAUUAGUCAUAAAUAACUAGUCAAAAGCAGAAAUUGAAAUCUUUUUCAUGGACGUUCAUUGAGAUGAAAAGGCAGGAAAAUCCGGCUCAUUCUGCUCUGUGAAAGCAGCACCCCUGCUAAACAGACUUCUUGCAGCGAAACCAUAAUACCUAUCACAAAAAUUUGUGAACCUUUUGCAUGCCAAGGCUUUAAUGAGCAACUGAUGUGAGUUUUAUGUUUAAAGAGUAAAGAUUUUGGUCACAGUCGCGAUUUAAAAAAAUGUCCUACUUCUGCGUUUCGCUGAAAAAGUAUCGCAGCCAAAUGCAUUACACUCUAUGGGAGGAAUUCUGGAACUGUCUGCGCUUUAAGGCAGCUGCAGACUAAAGAAUAGAUCUGAGGACUUAACCAGACACAUUAUUAGAAAGAAGACAAGUAUGACUACUGUAUGAACGAGUGAAAAAAUUUGGUUCAUAAAGUGAAAACUGUGGCUGUAGUGACGAGUUCAAGAGAACUUGAAUGAGUAUCAUUAUAUUCACUAUGGGCAAACAAAUUACUUUAAAGGUCCCUGCACAUGCAAAAUUCACUUUUUGGACAUUCUGGUAAAUUUAUAUGACUCCCUGGUUCAUUUAAGACACUCCUGGUGUGUUAGAAGUACGCCCCCUACUUAUUUCAAAUUUUUGAGAGUUUAUCUAUCCGGUUCAAGAACCAUCUGUUUCAAAUUUAGCAAACUAUGUACGUCUGCAUUCUAUUAACCACUCACAGAACCAGCUUCAGCCCCGCCCAGACAAACCUGGGCACCGAAAUUUAGCUGCAACAUUCUGUUUCAGUCACUCAUUGUGAACUCUAGCAUAUUAGGUGGCGGUAAUACACCUUUUAGUUGGUUUCCAUUUAAAAGACAAAAGAAGGAGAAGUCACUCACUGUGGCAAACUGAGAUGGGGCCAUUAGGGUUCAGAAAGUGCUUCGUUGUUGGUUGUUCCAACCAGCAUCGCAGCCUUUUCAUUUUACCAGCGGAGCAAGAAAAGAGAACUUUAUAUAUUAAUUUUAUUGUGAAUAGACCGGUGUGGGCACCGCUGCCUUAAUGCUUCUUUGUGUGUGGACACCAUUUGAAAACGAGAGCAUAUUUAGUACUGGGCUUGAGGUUGAAGAAGGCCUCCUGCUUCCCCAAACGUAAGUACUGUACAUGCUUGAUACUUAUUUGAUGUAUGUACUCCAGAAGUUUCUGGUUAUGAUCUAGCUCCCCUCCCGUGUAAGGAAUGAAUUUGGGUUUGGCAAGUUCCGUCUAAGUCUAACAUGUAUGUGGUUGCUGUCUUCUUGUAAGUGUUGCUUAUUUAGUCAGCUAACUUUAAAUAUGACAUUGUUUUUUUUAUACAGGCUGACGCAUCCCAGCUACCCACAGGUAAAGAGGUUGCUUCUCAAUCUGACACGCCACUGCAGACUGUGGACACACAGCUACCUUGUAGAAGAUUAUGUGGAAAAGAUGAUGGAGACCAUCUUCAAUAAAGUCCUGCUGGACCAGGGUCGUUAUAUGGAGGACCUUAUUAACAUUUCCCUUUCCCACCGGCCCUCUGAGCAGAAUUUGAGCAACCUGACAGAAAGGAGGUCAUUAAUGCCAUGCCAAGAUUUAACAAACCAGCACUAUAAAAGCUAAGUUGAAAACAUGUUUGAUCCAAACACCAUUACAACUGAUUUAACUACCUCUGCAUAUUGUUACAUUUGUGAAGGUUGUGAGAUACAUAGGAAAUACUGGACAUUUCAUUAAUCUGAUAUUCUAUUCUCUAUACCUUCUAGAGUGGUGUCAAGGAAAACAGCUGCAUCCUUCAUCUGUACAGCAGCUGCACUGCUUUCGAUGUCUUUCAAAACGUGAUGAAGACAACAAGAUCCUCACAUCUCCCCAGCCAACUGCCCAUGACUGUACCUAUUCCACUCCAAAAACUAUGCUUUCAACAUAACUAUGAAUCCUACCCAUUCAUGUUGUGGUCUGCACAUUGAACUGUUAAGGUAACUUAUCCAGCAUUAUAGUUCUGGUGCAUUGGUUGACAAUAAAGUUGGCUUCAACUAUU